UACGGAGGAUGCAAGCGUUAUCCGGAAUGAUUGGGCGUAAAGCGUCCGCAGGUGGCAAUGUAAGUCUGCUGUCAAAGCGUCUGGCUCAACCAGAUACAGGCAGUGGAAACUACAUAGCUAGAGUAUAGUAGGGGUAAAGGGAAUUUCCAGUGGAGCGGUGAAAUGCGUAGAGAUUGGAAAGAACACCGAUGGCGAAGGCACUUUACUGGGCUAUUACUAACACUCAGAGACGAAAGCUAGGGUAGCAAAUGGG
rnacentral:rRNA from 1 species